CGCACGGGUGCGUAACGCGUAUACAAUCUACCUUUUACAGAGGGAUAGCCCAGAGAAAUUUGGAUUAAUACCUCAUAGUAUUUUCGGAUCGCAUGAUUUGAUUAUUAAAGUUCCAACGGUAAAAGAUGAGUAUGCGUCCCAUUAGCUAGAUGGUAAGGUAACGGCUUACCAUGGCUACGAUGGGUAGGGGUCCUGAGAGGGAGAUCCCCCACACUGGUACUGAGACACGGACCAGACUCCUACGGGAGGCAGCAGUGAGGAAUAUUGGACAAUGGGCGCAAGCCUGAUCCAGCCAUGCCGCGUGCAGGAAGACGGUCCUAUGGAUUGUAAACUGCUUUUAUACAGGAAGAAACACUCGGACGUGUCCGAACUUGACGGUACUGUAUGAAUAAGCAUCGGCUAACUCCGUGCCAGCAGCCGCGGUAAUACGGAGGAUGCAAGCGUUAUCCGGAAUCAUUGGGUUUAAAGGGUCCGUAGGCGGUUUAAUAAGUCAGUGGUGAAAGCCCAUCGCUCAACGAUGGAACGGCCAUUGAUACUGUUAAACUUGAAUUAUUAGGAAGUAACUAGAAUAUGUAGUGUAGCGGUGAAAUGCUUAGAGAUUACAUGGAAUACCAAUUGCGAAGGCAGGUUACUACUAAUAUAUUGACGCUGAUGGACGAAAGCGUGGGGAGCGAACAGGAUUAGAUACCCUGGUAGUCCACGCCGUAAACGAUGGAUACUAGCUGUUCGGAGCAAUCUGAGUGGCUAAGCGAAAGUGAUAAGUAUCCCCCUGGGGAGUACGUUCNCAANAAUGAAACUCCAAGGA
rnacentral:rRNA from 1 species